rnacentral:rRNA from 1 species
GACGAACGCUGGCGGCGUGCUUAACACAUGCAAGUGGAGCGACGAACCAGGGCUUGCCCUGGGGGCAGAGCCGCGAACGGGUGAGUAACACGUGGGUAACGUGCCCCGAUGAUCGGGACGAACCCGGGGAAACCCGGGCUAAUACCGAAUGUGCUCCCCUCACACCAGUGAGGGAUGGAAAGGAAGCUUCGGCCUCCGCAUCGGGAUCGGCCCGCGGCCCAUUAGCUUGUUGGUGAGGUAACGGCUCACCAAGGCUGCGAUGGGUAGCUGGUCUGAGAGGACGAUCAGCCACACUGGGACUGAGACACGGCCCAGACUCCUACGGGAGGCAGCAGGUGGGGAAUCUUGCGCAAUGCGCGAAAGCGUGACGCAGCAACGCCGCGUGGGGGAAGACGGCC